AGUGAACGCUGGCGGUAGGCCUAACACAUGCAAGUCGAACGGCAGCACAGUAAGAGCUUGCUCUUACGGGUGGCGAGUGGCGGACGGGCGAGGAAUACAUCGGAAUCUACUUUUUCGUGGGGGAUAACGUAGGGAAACUUACGCUAAUACCGCAUACGACCUACGGGUGAAAGCAGGGGAUCUUCGGACCUUGCGCGAUUGAAUGAGCCGAUGUCGGAUUAGCUAGUUGGCGGGGUAAAGGCCCACCAAGGCGACGAUCCGUAGCUGGUCUGAGAGGAUGAUCAGCCAAACUGGAACUGAGACACGGUCCAGACUCCUACGGGAGGCAGCAGUGGGGAAUAUUGGACAAUGGGCGCAAGCCUGAUCCAGCCAUACCGCGUGGGUGAAGAAGGCCUUCGGGUUGUAAAGCCCUUUUGUUGGGAAAGAAAAGCAGCAGGUUAAUACCCCGCUGUUCUGACGGUACCCAAAGAAUAAGCACCGGCUAACUUCGUG
rnacentral:rRNA from 1 species